rnacentral:rRNA from 1 species
GGAGGAAAGUAGGGGAUCGCAGGACCUUGCGCUUUUAGAGCGGCCGAUGUCUGAUUAGCUAGUUGGUGAGGUAAAGGCUUACCAAGGCGUCGAUCAGUAGCUGGUCUGAGAGGACGACCAGCCACACUGGGACUGAGACACGGCCCAGACUCCUACGGGAGGCAGCAGUGGGGAAUUUUGGACAAUGGGGGAAACCCUGAUCCAGCCAUGCCGCGUGAGUGAAGAAGGCCUUCGGGUUGUAAAGCUCUUUCAGCCGGAACGAAACGGUCACGGCUAAUACCUGUGACUACUGACGGUACCGGAAGAAGAAGCACCGGCUAACUACGUGCCAGCAGCCGCGGUAAUACGUAGGGUGCGAGCGUUAAUCGGAAUUACUGGGCGUAAAGCGUGCGCAGGCGGUUUUGUAAGUCAGAUGUGAAAUCCCCGGGCUUAACCUGGGAACUGCGUUUGAAACUACAAAGCUAG